rnacentral:rRNA from 1 species
UACGAAGGGGGCUAGCGUUGCUCGGAAUCACUGGGCGUAAAGCGCACGUAGGCGGCUUUUUAAGUCAGGGGUGAAAUCCUGGAGCUCAACUCCAGAACUGCCUUUGAUACUGGGAAGCUUGAGUCCGGGAGAGGUGAGUGGAACUCCGAGUGUAGAGGUGAAAUUCGUAGAUAUUCGGAAGAACACCAGUGGCGAAGGCGGCUCACUGGCCCGGUACUGACGCUGAGGAGCGAAAGCAUGGGGAGCAAACAGG